UUAAUAUUCCCGAACCUCGACGCGGAGAUUGGCGCUCCGGCGCCUAGUGCGGCAACGCAAACGAACUCGGAAACGCCGACGUGGGUCCCGGGAAGAGUUCUCUUUUCUUGGUAAGGGGCGGCGACCCUGGAAUCGGUUCGCCCGGAGAUAGGGACAUGGGCCCCGUAAAGCAGCACGUCUCUUGUGCUGUCCGGUGAGCUCGCGUCGGCCCUUGAAAAUCCGAGGGAGACGGUGUAAUUUUCGUGCGAGGUCGUACCCAUAUCCGCAGCAGGUCUCCAAGGUGAACAGCCUCUGGCCGAUAGAACAAUGUAGGUAAGGGAAGUCGGCAAACUAGAUCCGUAACUUCGGGAAAAGGAUUGGCUCUAGGGGCUGGGUCGGUCGGGCUGAGGUACGAAGCGGGGCGCGGCGCUGUACCGGACUGGGCGAACGACGGCCUCCCUCGCGGGGGGCUGGCGUGAGCCUGGACCUGUGUCGGCGUCUUCCCGUGGAAUGCCGCAGCUAACGCGGGCCUCGCGGCCCGCUUCGGCCGGCGUCGAACAGCCGACUUAGAACUGGUACGGACCGGGGGAAUCCGACUGUUUAAUUAAAACAAAGCUUUGCGAUGGCCGUCAGCCGGUGUUGACGCAAUGUGAUUUCUGCCCAGUGUCUGAUGUAAUUCAAAGGAAGAAAUCAGUCAACCAAGCGCGGGUAAACGGCGGGAGUAACUAUGACUCUCUUAAGGUAGCCAAAUGCCUCGUCAUCUAAUUAGUGACGCGCAUGAAUGGAUUAACGAGAUUCCCGCUGUCCCUAUCUACUAUCUAGCGAAACCACAGCCAAGGGAACGGGCUUGGCAAAAUUACCGGGGAAAGAAGACCCUGUUGAGCUUGACUCUAGUCCGA
rnacentral:ncRNA from 1 species